rnacentral:rRNA from 1 species
UAGGGAAUCUUCGGCAAUGGACGGAAGUCUGACCGAGCAACGCCGCGUGAGUGAAGAAGGUUUUCGGAUCGUAAAGCUCUGUUGUUAGACAAGAACGUUGGUAGGAGUGGAAAAUCUACCAAGUGACGGUAACUAACCAGAAAGGGACGGCUAACUACGUGCCAGCAGCCGCGGUAAUACGUAGGUCCCGAGCGUUGUCCGGAUUUAUUGGGCGUAAAGCGAGCGCAGGCGGUUCUUUAAGUCUGAAGUUAAAGGCAGUGGCUUAACCAUUGUACGCUUUGGAAACUGGAGGACUUGGGUGCAGAAGGGGAGAGUGGAAUUCCGUGUGUAGCGGUGAAAUGCGUAGAUAUAUGGAGGAACACCGGUGGCGAAAGCGGCUCUCUGGCCUGUAACUGACGCUGAGGCUCGAAAGCGUGGGGAGCAAACAGG